CCUACGGGUGGCAGCAGUGAGGAAUAUUGGUCAAUGGACGAGAGUCUGAACCAGCCAAGCCGCGUGAAGGAAGAAUGCACAAUGGGUUGUAAACUUCUUUUAUAUGGGAAUAAAACAGGGUAUGCAUACCCUCUUGUGUGUACCAUAUGAAUAAGCAUCGGCUAACUCCGUGCCAGCAGCCGCGGUAAUACGGAGGAUCCGAGCGUUAUCCGGAUUUAUUGGGUUUAAAGGGGGCGUAGGUGGAUUGUUAAGUCAGUUGUGAAAGGUUGCGGCUCAACCGUAAAAUUGCAGUUGAAACUGGCAGUCUUGAGUACAGUAGAGGUGGGCGGAAUGCGUGGUGUAGCGGUGAAAUGCUUAGAUAUCACGAAGAACCCCGAUUGCGAAGGCAGCUCACUGGACUGCAACUGACACUGAGGCUCGAAAGUGUGGGUAUCAAACAGGAUUAGAUACCCUAGUAGUC
rnacentral:rRNA from 1 species